GUUACAUAAUAUUGAGCAGAGUUCCCUGUGCUGUACAGUAGGUCCUUGUUGUCUGUCUAUUUUAUGUACAGUAGGGUGUGUACGUUCAUCCUAACUUCCUAAUGUAGCCCUCUCUCAUCCCUUUUACCCUUUGGUAACCAUAAAUUUGUUUUCUGUGUCUGUGAGUCUGUUUCUGUUUUGUAAAUAAGUUCAACUGUAUCAUUUUUUAGAUCCCACAUAUAAGUGAAAUCGUGUGAUAUUUCUCUCUCUGUCUGGCUGAGAUGUGACUUUACUUCCCGUGGAUCACGUCUGAGCAUGUGUCCCAGCCAGUCCCACGCGGCCUGAGUCAUAACGACUUUAUGUUCAGACUCAUCUGUAGAAACGGGCGAAGGAAACUCAACGCCGAGCAUUGCUCAAGAGAAUCAAUAAGACAUUUGCUCUGUGGGUUUUCUGUGUCAGGACCAGGAGGUUCCCCGGCAGGAGGGCCGUGCAGGCGGCCGGGCGAGUUCCCUGCCUGGUGACAGCUUCCUCAUCCUCAGAUGCCCGCCAGACCUUUCCUCUGUGGAACCACAGGUGAUGCCAGGUCAUCCUCUGGAGACACACGGCUUCUCUUCCACGGCUGGCACUCUUAAUACCACCUCUGCAUUGUGAUGUUGACAGAAUUGAAGACCUUUGCCUAGUAUUUAGGAUGUUAAUGGAGCCGUUCAUCUAACAAAGAGAAAUUACGUGUAGACACUUGAGUAUAUUUGAAGAAACCAAGCCAUGUCAAAUUGAGGGGAAAAUAUUCUUUUCCAAACAUCUUCUAAGCCUCUCAAAGUAAUCUAAAUCCUGAAAAAUAGAUUAGAUUCCUCCUUUGGAAUUUUUUGCCUGUGAAGGGAAAUUCUUGAAUUUGGAGAAGUUUCCCAAUGAGAAGAAUAUACGGUCCUGACCCUUUACAGCGUUUAAUUUGUUAAACAAAUAUUUAUUAUGCAGCCCUCAUUUGGGAAAUAUUUGUUGUGGGAAUUUGGAUGAAUCGCUUGGUGGCUCAGGUGUCAAGCUGUAUUUGUGUGUGGAGUUGUCACAGGAAGAGGUCAUCAUGGCCUUGACCUUCUCCACUUGGCCACCAUGGGGCUCCGGGGAGCUAAGCUGCACCCAGCUCCCAUAAACUUGAACUCUUAUGAAUCAACACCUUCUUGAUGCAGAGUAUGGGAAACGAUUUUUCCUGUCUUCUCUAUAAAAAUAAAAUAUUUACAUUAA